rnacentral:rRNA from 1 species
GAGCCUGGCUCAGGAUGAACGCUAGCUACAGGCUUAACACAUGCAAGUCGAGGGGCAGCAUGGUCUUAGCUUGCUAAGGCUGAUGGCGACCGGCGCACGGGUGAGUAACACGUAUCCAACCUGCCGUCUACUCUUGGCCAGCCUUCUGAAAGGAAGAUUAAUCCAGGACGGCAUCAUGAGUUCACAUGUCCGCAUGAUUAAAGGUAUUUUCCGGUAGACGAUGGGGA